rnacentral:rRNA from 1 species
GAUGAACGCUGGCGGCGUGCCUAAUACAUGCAAGUCGAGCGAACAGAUGAGGAGCUUGCUCCUCUGACGUUAGCGGCGGACGGGUGAGUAACACGUGGAUAACCUACCUAUAAGACUGGGAUAACUUCGGGAAACCGGAGCUAAUACCGGACAAUAUAUUGAACCGCAUGGUUCAAUAGUGAAAGACGGUUUUGCUGUCACUUAUAGAUGUAUCCGCGCCGCAUUAGCUAGUUGGUAAGGUAACGGCUUACCAAGGCGACGAUGCGUAGCCGACCUGAGAGGGUGAUCGGCCACACUGGAACUGAGACACGGUCCAGACUCCUACGGGAGGCAGCAGUAGGGAAUCUUCCGCAAUGGGCGAAAGCCUGACGGAGCAACGCCGCGUGAGUGAUGAAGGUCUUCGGAUCGUAAAACUCUGUUAGUAGGGAAGAACAAAUGUGUAAGUAACUAUGCACGUCUUGACGGUACCUAAUCAGAAAGCCACGGCUAACUACGUG